GUCAAACUCUAAAAGAGAGAAAAGAGGUAAGGCCCUUCAACUGGCAAGUGCAACAGGCAGGCAGCUAUUUAAGCAGGGGAUGAUUUUGAUUGCGGUAGAAGAUUGGAGGAGAUAGCCGGACGCCGCACCAAUCUGCAGCCUGUUGCACCAGCGAUACAGGGGCCUUAUUAUGUUCCUGCCCUGAACGUGGAAUGAGAGUCAUUGACUGUCAGAGCUGUCAGACUCAGACUUGCAGAGUGUGUUAGAGGAGGUCAUCAGAAAAUACGGAUUGUCGCCACAGUUGUGAGAUCACCGGAGGAAAGACAAGAUGAAAUGGCAGAGAAUAGAUCUUAUUAGUUCUUAUAAGUUAUUCAGACUUUCCACAUUUUGAAUUGCUUUCCUUGAAGCAGAUGAAAAAAACAUGAUAGGAAAGACAUUUUAUCCGAUUCCAGUGAAAUGUAGUUUGACCUAUUUGGGGAAUUCCCCUAAAAAACACAUGGCAUGUGAGCUGGAGGUCACUUGAUCCAGGAUUUUUAUGAAUUGUCAUUUAUUUGUGCUUUAAUGUGAUGUUUUGAAAGAACUGUAUACAACUUCAAUGUUUGUGCUAGCAGGGAUUACUCCCAAAAGAAAAAUACUGAACUAACCUCAACUUCUCUGUAAUAGUCACAUCAUCCCUGCUUAGAAAUUUGUUACAGCUGUGUUAAGAUAUUACUGCUGUAGUAUUAUAACAGUGU